UGGGUGGAUUAGUGGCGAACGGGUGAGUAACACGUGAGUAACCUGCCCUUAACUCUGGGAUAAGCCUGGGAAACUGGGUCUAAUACCGGAUAGGAGCGUCCACCGCAUGGUGGGUGUUGGAAAGAUUUAUCGGUUUUGGAUGGACUCGCGGCCUAUCAGCUUGUUGGUGAGGUAAUGGCUCACCAAGGCGACGACGGGUAGCCGGCCUGAGAGGGUGACCGGCCACACUGGGACUGAGACACGGCCCAGACUCCUACGGGAGGCAGCAGUGGGGAAUAUUGCACAAUGGGCGCAAGCCUGAUGCAGCGACGCCGCGUGAGGGAUGACGGCCUUCGGGUUGUAAACCUCUUUCAGUAGGGAAGAAGCGAAAGUGACGGUACCUGCAGAAGAAGCACCGGCUAACUACGUGCCAGCAGCCGCGGUAAUACGUAGGGUGCGAGCGUUAUCCGGAAUUAUUGGGCGUAAAGAGCUCGUAGGCGGUUUGUCGCGUCUGUCGUGAAAGUCCGGGGCUUAACCCCGGAUCUGCGGUGGGUACGGGCAGACUAGAGUGCAGUAGGGGAGACUGGAAUUCCUGGUGUAGCGGUGGAAUGCGCAGAUAUCAGGAGGAACACCGAUGGCGAAGGCAGGUCUCUGGGCUGUAACUGACGCUGAGGAGCGAAACAUGGGGAGCGAACAGGAUUAGAUACCCUGGUAGUCCAUGCCGUAAACGUUGGGCACUANGUGUGGGGACCAUUCCACGGUUUCCGCGCCGCAGCUAACGCAUUAAGUGCCCCGCCUGGGGAGUACGGCCGCAAGGCUAAAACUCAAA
rnacentral:rRNA from 1 species